GGCCUAGUAGCUCAGUAGUUAGAGCUCCUGGUGCAUCUCUAGAAGAUUCUGGGUUCAAAUCAUAGUCUGGCCA